AUCACUUAUCGUGUGCGAACUUGUGGGCGUGCGUGAGUUUCGGCCUCGCUGUUUGCAUGUUUGUGCGUUUUGGGUGUACUUUUUCGUAUGGUAGGCCAACGUCAGUUUCGAUUAUCAUAAAAUGACCGGCGGAAUGUAGCUUCGAUUUCGGUUGAAGUGUUAUAGCCUCUGGUAGAUGUGGUGAUUGAGACUGAGGAUUGCAACGAAUACCCUUUGGGCUAUCCGUCUGGCCUCUGAAAGUUGCUCAGGUGCCGAAAGCGUGCUUACGGUCAUCUAAGAUAACGUUCAACAGGUUAGAACGUGAUUACAUUCGUUAAGGACGUUGGCGUAAUGGUUUU
rnacentral:rRNA from 1 species